UACGUAGGUGGCAAGCGUUGUCCGGAUUUACUGGGCAUAAAGAGCGCGCAGGCGGCUGGUCAAGUCCGAUGUGAAAUCUCCCGGCUUAACUGGGAAACUGCAUCGGAAACUGAUCGGCUUGAAGGUGGGAGAGGGUAGUGGAAUUCCCGGUGUAGUGGUGAAAUGCGUAGAUAUCGGGAGGAACACCAGUGGCGAAGGCGACUACCUGGCCCAUUCUUGACGCUGAGGCGCGAAAGCUAGGGGAGCGAACGGG
rnacentral:rRNA from 1 species